rnacentral:rRNA from 1 species
GAUGAACGCUGGCUACAGGCUUAACACAUGCAAGUCGAGGGGAAACGACGGGGAAGCUUGCUUCCCCGGGCGUCGACCGGCGCACGGGUGAGUAACGCGUAUCCAACCUGCCUCUGACUGAGGGAUAACCCGUCGAAAGUCGGCCUAAUACCUCAUGGCAUCGUCUGCGGGCAUCCAACGACGAUUAAAGAUUUCAUCGGUCAGGGAUGGGGAUGCGUCUGAUUAGCUUGUUGGCGGGGUAACGGCCCACCAAGGCUACGAUCAGUAGGGGUUCUGAGAGGAAGGUCCCCCACAUUGGAACUGAGACACGGUCCAAACUCCUACGGGAGGCAGCAGUGAGGAAUAUUGGUCAAUGGGCGAGAGCCUGAACCAGCCAAGUAGCGUGCAGGAUGACGGCCCUAUGGGUUGUAAACUGCUUUUAUGCGGGGAUAAAGUGAGGGACGUGUCCUUCAUUGCAGGUACCGCAUGAAUAAGGACCGGCUAAUUCCGUGCCAGCAGCCGCGGUAAUACGGAAGGUCCGGGCGUUAUCCGGAUUUAUUGGGUUUAAAGGGAGCGUAGGCCGUGGAUUAAGCGUGUUGUGAAAUGCAGGUGCUCAACGUCUGCACUGCAGCGCGAACUGGUCCACCUGAGUGUGCACAACGCAGGCGGAAUUCGUCGUGUAGCGGUGAAAUGCUUAGAUAUGACGAAGAACUCCGAUUGCGAAGGCAGCUUGCGGGAGCACAACUGACGCUGAAGCUCGAAAGUGCGGGUAUCGAACAGG